rnacentral:rRNA from 1 species
GGGCUAAUUCUCGAUAGGUGAAGAACUCUGGAAUGAGUCUUUGCUUAAAAGACGUUUGCGUUAUGCUCGUAGGCGUCGCCCAAGGAUGAGGCCGCGACCGAUCAGGUUGUUGGUGAGGUAACGGCUCACCAAGCCUGUAACCGGUGCGGGCCGUGGGAGCGGGAGCCCGGAGAUGGGCACUGAGACAAGGGCCCAGGCCCUACGGGGCGCAGCAGUCGCGCAAACUUUGCAAUACACGAAAGUGUGACAGGGCUAUCCCGAGUGCCGUCCGCUGAGGAUGGCUUUUACCCAGUCUAGAACGCUGGGGGAAUAAGGAGAGGGCAAGUCUGGUGUCAGCCGCCGCGGUAAUACCAGCUCUCCGAGUGGUGUGGAUGUUUAUUGGGCCUAAAGCAUCCGUAGCUGGCUAAGUUAGUCCCUUGUUAAAUCCACCGAAUUAAUCGUUGGAUUGCGGGGGAUACUGCUUGGCUAGGGGACGAGAGAGGCAGACGGUAUUUCCGGGGUAGGGGUGAAAUCCUAUAAUCCCGGGAAGACCACCAGUGGCGAAGGCUGUCUGCUAGAACGCGCCCGACGGUGAGGGAUGAAAGCUGGGGGAGCGAACCGGAUUAGAUACCCGGGUAGUCCCAGCUGUAAACGAUGCAGGCUAGGUGUUUGGACGGCCACGUGCCGUUCUAGUGCCGCAGGGAAGCUGUUAAGCCUGCCGCCUGGGGAGUACGGUCGCAAGAUUGAAACUUAAAGGAAUUGGCGGGGGAGCAC